rnacentral:tRNA from 1 species
GGACGUAGCUCAGCUGGUAGAGCAUCACCUUGCCAAGGUGAGGGUCGCGGGUUCGAAUCUCGUCGUCCG